CUGCUAUGAUGGCAGUAAUUUUUGUCAAGAGCAGUUCACCGAAGUGCUGAUACUUUGGGUCUGAGUGA
ensembl:snoRNA